GUGCUCUUGUGCCUGACACCCCAAACUUGGAGGCACCUCUGCCACUCACUGAAUAAAGUACCAUUAACGGCAUGAUUUCAAUUAAAUCAUGUCACCCAAAAUCCCAAAUGUUUUUUUGGUAAACCUUUCUAGCUAAAGGACAUGCACAGUGUACAGAGCUUCUUUGCAAAGAUUCUUUGCUUUCUGACAUUUUUAUAUGGCUUUCAGCUGCAGUUUUUAUGUUUCUCGUUAUUAUAUGAGAAUAUACCAUUUUAUAGACAUUUCAAACAAUGAGAACUUUGUACCAAAAGGUUUGUGUUAUC